UCGGGUGUGGUGUACGGGACACCGCGGGCUUUUCUAGGAAGGCCUCAUAAAUGAAAUUGGAGCCCGCAGACCGGGGUUCGACUCCCCGCGCCCGAA